rnacentral:rRNA from 1 species
ACUACGCUGGCGGCGUGCCUAAUACAUGCAAGUCGAACGGGAUUCUUUGAUCAGCUUGCUGAGAGAAGGAUCUAGUGGCGGACGGGUGAGUAACGCGUGGGAAUCUGCCUCUUACUGGGGGAUAACAGUGGGAAACUACUGCUAAUACCGCAUAAGAUCUUCGGAUGAAAGGUGCAACUGCACCGGUAAGAGAUGAGCCCGCGUCCCAUUAGCUAGUUGGUGAGGUAAAGGCUCACCAAGGCGACGAUGGGUAGCCGGCCUGAGAGGGUGAACGGCCACACUGGGACUGAGACACGGCCCAGACUCCUACGGGAGGCAGCAGUAGGGAAUCUUCCGCAAUGGGCGCAAGCCUGACGGAGCGAUGCCGCGUGAGUGAUGAAGGUCUUCGGACUGUAAAACUCUGUUAUUAGGGAAGAAUACUAUAGGGAGGAAAUGCCUUAUAGAUGACGGUACCUAAUGAGGAAGCCCCGGCCAACUAUGUG